GAUGAACGCUGGCGGCGUGCCUAAUACAUGCAAGUCGAGCGAACAGACGAGGAGCUUGCUCCUCUGACGUUAGCGGCGGACGGGUGAGUAAUACGUGGAUAACCUACCUAUAAGACUGGGAUAACUUCGGGAAACCGGAGCUAAUACCGGAUAAUAUAUUGAACCGCAUGGUUCAAUAGUGAAAGACGGUUUUGCUGUCACUUAUAGAUGGAUCCGCGCCGCAUUAGCUAGUUGGUAAGGUAACGGCUUACCAAGGCAACGAUGCGUAGCCGACCUGAGAGGGUGAUCGGCCACACUGGAACUGAGACACGGUCCAGACUCCUACGGGAGGCAGCAGUAGGGAAUCUUCCGCAAUGGGCGAAAGCCUGACGGAGCAACGCCGCGUGAGUGAUGAAGGUCUUCGGAUCGUAAAACUCUGUUAUUAGGGAAGAACAAAUGUGUAAGUAACUAUGCACGUCUUGACGGUACCUAAUCAGAAAGCCACGGCCAACUACGUG
rnacentral:rRNA from 1 species